AUUGAACGCUGGCGGCAGGCCUAACACAUGCAAGUCGAGCGGAUGAAGGGAGCUUGCUCCUGGAUUCAGCGGCGGACGGGUGAGUAAUGCCUAGGAAUCUGCCUGGUAGUGGGGGAUAACGUCCGGAAACGGGCGCUAAUACCGCAUACGUCCUGAGGGAGAAAGUGGGGGAUCUUCGGACCUCACGCUAUCAGAUGAGCCUAGGUCGGAUUAGCUAGUUGGUGGGGUAAAGGCCUACCAAGGCGACGAUCCGUAACUGGUCUGAGAGGAUGAUCAGUCACACUGGAACGGAGACACGGUCCAGACUCCUACGGGAGGCAGCAGUGGGGAAUAUUGGACAAUGGGCGAAAGCCUGAUCCAGCCAUGCCGCGUGUGUGAAGAAGGUCUUCGGAUUGUAAAGCACUUUAAGUUGGGAGGAAGGGCAGUAAGUUAAUACCUUGCUGUUUUGACGGUACCAACAGAAUAAGCACCGGCUAACUUCGUG
rnacentral:rRNA from 1 species